GAGGGAGAUUAUGUCCAUGACUACCUGGAACACAUUGAGCUUUGCCUGGGGAUGGAUGAGGGGCCAGCCAAAAGCUUAAGGGUCAGGAUUAAAGGAGGGGACAGGGGUAGGUGACAUUACAGGAAGAAUCUGUUACAGACUGCCCAACCAGGAAAACUGAGCAGAUCAGGCCCCUCUAUAAUUGGAGAGGAGCAGCCUCAUGUUCACAAGCCCUAGUCCUCCUGGGGGACUUCAGCCUCCCUGAUACCUGUUGGAGGGUCAACACAGCAGGGCAUAAACAUUACAGGUGGCUCCUGGAGUGUGUUAAUGAUUCUAACUUCCUUCUCCAAGUGAUAGAGAAGCCAACAAGGAGAGGUGCUGUGCUGGACCUUGUUCUCACAUAGCAAGGAAGAACUGGUAGGGAAUGAGAAGCUCACGUUAAGCUCCCUAACCUAGACUCCAGGAGAGCAGACUUUGGCCUCUUCAGGGAUCUACUUGGUACAGAAUCAUGGGCUGAAGCCCUGGAGGAAAGAGAGGCCCAAGAAAGUUGGUUAUUAGUCAAGGAUUGGCUCCUCCGAGCUCAGGUGAGAUGCAUUUUAGCAAAGAGGAAAUCAGGCAAAAAUGCCAGGAGGCCUUCAUGGAUAGACAAGUUGCUCCUGGACAAACUCAGGCACAGAAAGGCAGAGUUCCAAGAAUCUAAAAAAAGGAUCUUUUGCAAGAUUUUUAAAGGAGAAAUUUCAGUCUGCUUCCUUUUUUUUUUUUUUUAACAUAAAGAAAAUGGGAAUGCGUGAAUGAGUGAGUGAUAUAAUCCUGCCCUAAUUGAUUCCAGUUUGUGAGAAAGUGCUGAAGAGCUGAACAACAAGCAAAGGCUAGGCCUUUAUGGUUAUAAAGGCACAGAAGAGAGAUCCUAAGGCAGGAGAGCAAUGCAGGAAGGGCCUUUGAGAGAUGUGCAGGGAGGAUACAGCAUUUCAUUGCCAUGCAGCUCAUCAGCCAUCUUCCAUCUGCAUCUGCCUGAAUGGAAUUCCUUAUGAACCUAUGAAAGCCCUCAAGAAGUGAAGGACAACACAGGGAUGAAAAGAAAUAGAACAUCUCAAAAACAA